GCUGAAGAAAAAGUCCUUUGGACAACUAUUUACAACCUAGUCCUGACUGGAGUAAACAUCUUCCAGAGGACCUAAGUAUAUAGACUGGAGAAUACAAGAGGCAUGGAAUAAGAUCUUGUCUACAUGAAAUUCCAGUCUGCUGACCUCAUCAUCCUGCAGGUCUUCCUCAAGCUGGAGAACGCGCUUAAAAGCAUCCGCUGCCACCCUUUUCCGUUUUGUGAGAAAUUCCUGUUCUUCUGGGCAGAGGUCAAACCCCAAGCGUACAUCAGGGCAUGGUGGGCUGUAACAAAGAGGAAUGUACAUCUUCUUAUCUGAACUUGCAUACUGAUAUGAUGCACACUGACUCAAGGACUGAGAUCCUGCAUCAGAGGCUGUAAUUUGCAACAUAAUGAUAAUGUAGCCAAAGCCUCUGGCACGAGUGAAUUGUGACAAUGCAUAUCAGGGCAUUUUGUAAGAAACUGUGAUGCAAUGGGUUCCAAAGAUGUAGCGGUAUCUCUACUCCCCUCCUAAAAAUAUAAAAGCUGCACAAAA